GGCUACAAUAAGUCCUCCAUCCUUUUAGGUGUCAUGACAACUGAGCAUGAAGUAGUCGUUCAUUCAUCAAGGUGUUACCAUUCCCCUUUCUGUCAUGAUCACUGUAGUCGUUCAUUCAUCAAGGUGUUACCAUUCCCCUUUCUGUCAUGAUCACUGUAGUCGUUCAUUCAUCAAGGUGUUACCAUUCCCCUUUCUGUCAUGAUCACUGUAGUCGUUCAUUCAUCAAGGUGUUACCAUUCCCCUUUCUGUCAUGAUCACUGUAGUCGUUCAUUCAUCAAGGUGUUACCAUUCCCCUUUCUGUCAUGAUCACUGUAGUCGUUCAUUCAUCAAGGUGUUACCAUUCCCCUUUCUGUCAUGAUUAUUCUUCACAGUGUUUCGAAACAGGAGGGAUGUCAGUGGAAAGGAAGGAAAGGACAUAGUUCCUCU